GUCCGUAUGGUGCAGUGGUAGCAUAGUUGCCUUACACGGUAUAAAAUCGCACGGAACGCAAAUGGUCCUAGGUUCGAACCCUAGUACGGACA